rnacentral:rRNA from 1 species
CCUACGGGGGGCUGCAGUCGCGAAUCUUUCACAAUGGGCGCAAGCCUGAUGAAGCCACGCCGCGUGCGGGAUGAAGGCCUCUGGGUUGUAAACCGCUGUCGAAGGGCGUACUGCUUCCUGAAGAAGCCCCGGCAAAACAUGUGCCAGCAGCCGCGGUAAUACAUGUGGGGCAAGCGUUGUUCGGAAUUACUGGGCAUAAAGGGUGCGUAGGUGGUCUGCUAAGUCAGUGGUGAAAUCCCGCGGCCCAACCGUGGAACUGCCAUCGAUACUGGCGGACUUGAGUGCGUGAGGGGUUACCGGAACGAGCAGUGUAGCGGUGAAAUGCGUAGAUAUUGCUCGGAAGGCCAGAGGCGAAGGCGGGUAACUGCCGCAACUGACACUGAGGCACGAAAGCGUGGGGAGCAAACAGGAUUAGAUACCCUUGUAGUC